GACGAACGCUGGCGGCGUGCCUAAUACAUGCAAGUAGAACGCUGAAGGAGGAGCUUGCUUCUCUGGAUGAGUUGCGAACGGGUGAGUAACGCGUAGGUAACCUGCCUGGUAGCGGGGGAUAACUAUUGGAAACGAUAGCUAAUACCGCAUAAGAGUAGAUGUUGCAUGACAUUUGCUUAAAAGGUGCAAUUGCAUCACUACCAGAUGGACCUGCGUUGUAUUAGCUAGUUGGUGGGGUAACGGCUCACCAAGGCGACGAUACAUAGCCGACCUGAGAGGGGGAUCGGCCACACUGGGACUGAGACACGGCCCAGACUCCUACGGGAGGCAGCAGUAGGGAAUCUUCGGCAAUGGACGGAAGUCUGACCGAGCAACGCCGCGGGAGGGAAGAAGGUUUUCGGAUCGUAAAGCUCUGUUGUAAGAGAAGAACGAGCGUGAGAGUGGAAAGUUCACACUGUGACGGUAUCUUACCAGAAAGGGACGGCUAACUACGUG
rnacentral:rRNA from 1 species